rnacentral:rRNA from 1 species
GAGAAGACUUUAGAUAUGAUCCAGAGUACCACGGGACACGUGAAACCCUGUGGGAAGCAGGAGGGACCACCCUCCAAGGCUAAAUACUACCUAGUGACCGAUAGCGUAUAGUACCGUGAGGGAAAGGCGAAAAGAACCCCGGGAGGGGAGUGAAAUAGAACCUGAAACCCUGCACUUACAAGCUGUGGAAGCACAUUUCUUGUGUGACCGCGUACUUUUUGUAGAACGGGCCAACGAGUUACGUUAAGUAGCAAGGUUAAGCACUUAAGGUGCGGAGCCGUAGCGAAAGCGAGUUUUAACUGAGCGUUCAGUUACUUGACGUAGACCCGAAACCGGGCGACCUACCCA